rnacentral:rRNA from 1 species
CCUACGGGAGGCAGCAGUGGGGAAUUUUGCGCAAUGGGGGAAACCCUGACGCAGCAACGCCGCGUGGAGGAUGAAGUCCCUUGGGACGUAAACUCCUUUCGAUCGGGACGAUUAUGACGGUACCGGAAGAAGAAGCCCCGGCUAACUUCGUGCCAGCAGCCGCGGUAAU